rnacentral:rRNA from 1 species
AUUGAACGCUGGCGGCAGGCCUAACACAUGCAAGUCGAGCGAGCGGCGGACGGGUGAGUAAUGUCUGGGAAACUGCCUGAUGGAGGGGGAUAACUACUGGAAACGGUAGCUAAUACCGCAUACCAUCAGAUGUGCCCAGAUGGGAUUAGCUAGUAGGUGGGGUAACGGCUUACCUAGGCGACGAUCCCGAGCUGGUCUGAGAGGAUGACCAGCCACACUGGGACUGAGACACGGGCCAGACUCCUUCGGGAGGAAGCAGUGGGGAAUAUUGCACAAUGGGCGCAAGCCUGAUGCAGCCAGGCCGCGUGUGUGAAGAAGGCCUUAGGGUUGUAAAGCACUUGCAGCAGGGAGGCGUUACCGACAGAAGAAGCACCGGCUAACUCCGUGCCAGCAGCCGCGGUAAUAC